GAGUACAUAGUCAAACAUUCAAUGCUUGCCGGACCAUUAGCCUAACUUACAUUAAAGUUCUGUAAGUCACAACUAGUCUUUUAAAUGGAAAUAGAAGUAUAGAGUCUUCAGAGAGAUACAAAGGAAGGAAGGGUUUCAAGUUAGAAUGAGAUUUAAUUUUAAAUAGGUAGUCAAUACAAAAUAAUGGGAAUGAUUUUGCUAAAAGAAUGAUCAAAUUUAUAAUCUUUUAAGUUACAUGGAAGAAAAUGGAAGGAACCUAUUCAAAGAAUCCCAGUCCUUAUAAUUGCAUUCUGUCUCAGGGACAGGAUAUUUUAGACUGUGCAUUAUUACACAGGAUACAAACUAAAAAUUAAAAAAAAAUUGCCUUUAAUUGGUUAUCUCAAGAGCUGGGAACUUUUUGUCCUUAUUCAAUGAUAUAUACUCUUACUGUUGUGUUCAAAUGAGAGGUUUAAUUAUUUUUAUAAUAAAGACAAGAUGUUUAUACAUAUUUAUUGUGCAUGUGUUUACAUGUAUGUAUAGUGAAAUUGGCAGUCAGACCCAGUGUAACUUUUUUUCUUUCUGAUUAGAAAUUUGAGGAGUUCCCACCGUGGUGCAGUGGGUUAAUGAUCCAUGUUGUCUCUGUUGAGGCGCUGAUUAAAGAUCCAGCAUUGCUGCAGCUGUGGUGUAGGUCACAGCUCUGGCUCUGAUUCAGUCCCUGACCAGGGAACUUCCAUAUGCUGUGGAUGAGGCUAAAAAAGAAAAAAAAAAAAAGAAAUUUGACAUGUUUUUCAAAAACUAACUAAUAUUAUUUAUGAUAAUUUCCCAGUAUUCAAUCAUUGUAUUAUGUAUUAUAUAUGUAUACUAUAUAUUGAAUAAGUAUAUAUAAUCACAAAACUGUACUAUACCUAAUAUGCACAUGUGUACAUAUGAUACAUAUAUGUAUAUGUGUAUAUGUAUAGGGAAGUUUUAAGACAAAAGGCAAUUAUCCAGAGAAGUUGCAUGGAGUAGUAGCUUAGAUCUUGGUUUUGGAUACACACACACACACACAUACGAUGUGUGUAUGUAACUUAGCAAAACAUAAAGACACUAUAAUUUCACCACCAUUACUCCAAAACUAUUUGUAAUUAGAGAGGCAAUUAUUUUAAGGAUAUAUAAUCAGAGAUUAAAAUAAUAUUUGAAAUAUGCCAGUAGGAAUUUUAUUAAAGUCAGUACUUUAGGAGUUCCCGUCGACAUUGAUGGCAGUUUCAAUAGGCUUCUCUUUGCUUAAUGACCCAGGUAACUCUGACUGGGAGUGUCCUGGGAAGGCAGGGAAAUGCUCUGCUUUCUGACCUGAAACUCAGUUGCUUACCUUCUUCUGACUAGGUCUUCUACUUUCUCUUCCAGAUCUACUGUCAUUCCCCACUCCAGAAAAAAACUUUAAUUCUAACCAAGUUUUCCCCCUACUAGUUUGAGGAAGGAGCUUAGGCAAUGUGUAGGAGACAUGGAAACAACCUAAAUGUCCGUAAACAGAUGCAUGGACUAAGAAGAUGUGGUACAUAUAUACAAUGGAAUACUACUCAGCCAUAAAAAAGAAUGAAAUAAUAACAUUUGCAACAAUAUGGAUGCAACUAGAAAUCUCAUACUAAGUGAAGUUAAUCAUAAAGAAAAAGACACUCUGGAAUCUAAAAUACAGCUCAAAUGAACCUAUGUAUAUAAAACAGAAACAAAUUCAUAGACAUAGAGAAUGGACUUGUGGUUGCCAAGGUGGGGGGAGGGGAGAGGGAUGGAUGGGGAGUUUGAGGUUGAUAGAUGCAAACUAUUACAUUUAGAAUGGAUAAGCAAUGAGGUCCUACUGUAUAGCACAGGGAACUAUAUCCAAUCUCCUGAGAUAGACCAUGAUGAAAAAUAAUAUUAAAAUCAAACAAUGCAAUGGGACUUAAUCAAACUGACAAGCUUUUGCAUAGCCAAAGUAACCACACACACACGCAAAAAACCCAAAGAGACAACUUACAGAAUGGGAGAAAACAGUUUCAAAUGAUGCAUCUGAAAAGGGCUUAAUCUCUAAAAUAGACAAACAGGAGUUCCCGUCGUGGCGCAGUGGUUAACGAAUCCGACUAGGAACCAUGAGGUUGUGGGUUCGGUCCCUGCCCUUGCUCAGUGGGUUAACGAUCCGGCGUUACUGUGAGCUGUGGUGUAGGUUGCAGACGCGGCUCAGAUCCCGCGUUGCUGUGGCUCUGGCGUGGGCCAGUGGCUACAGCUCCAAUUUGACCCCUAGCCUGGGAACCUCCAUAUGCCACGGGAGUGGCCCAAAGAAAUAGCAAAAAGACAAAAAAUUUUUAAAAAAAUUAAAAAAAAUAGACAAACAGUGUGUACAACUCAACAGCUAAAAAAAAAAAAACAAAACAAAAAAA
rnacentral:lncRNA from 1 species